rnacentral:rRNA from 1 species
UGGGGAAUUUUGGACAAUGGGCGCAAGCCUGAUCCAGCAAUGCCGCGUGCAGGAAGAAGGCCUUCGGGUUGUAAACUGCUUUUGUCAGGGAAGAAAUCCUCUGGGUUAAUACCUCGGGGGGAUGACGGUACCUGAAGAAUAAGCACCGGCUAACUACGUGCCAGCAGCCGCGGUAAUACGUAGGGUGCGAGCGUUAAUCGGAACUACUGGGCGUAAAGCGUGCGCAGGCGGUUGUGCAAGACAGGUGCGAAAUCCCCGGGNUUAACCUGGGAACUGCACUUGUGACUGCACGGCUAGAGUACGGUAGAGGGGGAUGGAAUUCCGCGUGUAGCAGUGAAAUGCGUAGAUAUGCGGAGGAACACCGUGGCGAAGGCAAUCCCCUGGACUGUACUGACGCUCAUGCACGAAAGCGUGGGGAGCAAACAGGAUUAGAUACCCUGGUAGUCCACGCCCUAAAACGAUGUCAACUGGUUGUUGGACGGCUUGCUGUU